CCUUUGUACACACCGCCCGUCGCUACUACCGAUUGAAUGGCUCAGUGAGGCCUUGGGACUGGCUCAGAGAGGUCGGCAACGACCCAGAGCCGGAAAGUUGGUCAAACUCGGUCAUUUAGAGG
rnacentral:rRNA from 1 species